ACGGGAGGCAGCAGUGGGGGAUAUUGCACAAUGGAGGAAACUCUGAUGCAGCAACGCCGCGUGAGGGAUGAAGGUUUUCGGAUUGUAAACCUCUGUCCUUAGUGAAGAAAAAAAUGACGGUAACUAAGGAGGAAGCUCCGGCUAACUACGUGCCAGCAGCCGCGGUAAUACGUAGGGAGCAAGCGUUGUCCGGAUUUAUUGGGUGUAAAGGGUGCGUAGGCGGCUAUGUAAGUCAGACGUGUAAUGCAGGGGCUUAACCUCUGAACGGCGUUUGAAACUGUGUAGCUUGAGUGGAGUAGAGGCAGAUGGAAUUUCCAGUGUAGCGGUGAAAUGCGUAGAUAUUGGAAGGAACACAGUGGCGAAAGCGAUCUGCUGGGCUCUAACUGACGCUGAUGCACGAAAGCAUGGGGAGCAAACAGGAUUAGAUACCCUGGUA
rnacentral:rRNA from 1 species